CUCACACAUACAAUACGUCCAAAUAUAUAUAUAUACACACACACACACUACAGCACCCCUCACACUGCACCACUACACACAUUACGCUCCAGAUACAUGCUAGAUCCCUUACCCUAUAUAAACUCUUAAUCCUCUACACACACACACACACACACACAAUCUCCUAUACACACUCUUGGUCCUUUACACACUAGAUCUCCUACACACACACACACACACUGCACCACCUACACACACACACUACAUUCCCUGUCAGCAAACACAUACAACAUUCUCUAAACACACCCUCUCUACAACCCCUACACACACUAUGUCACCUAUACACACACACUACAGCCUGUAUUCACACACUCGCUACAUCCCCUAUAACACUAUGCCCCCUAUACACACACUCUCUACAGCCCCUAGCCACAAAUAUUACACCACAAACAC